UUGUGUUUUCUGAGGACAUAAUCACAUUUAAGUAACUAGGGCCAACGUGGAACAGCUGUGCCUAGUGAUUGAACUCUUUCCUUGAGUUGCCUUCACGUACAUGCCGUCUGUACUGUGGCAGGACUACAGUACCAUGGAGUUCUGAGAGAUGUGAAGAAAUUACAUAUAUAGCCACUGAAGUAGUGUUAAUUGUAUUAAUGGAGCCUCAAUCAUUCACCACUUCAUGUAUCAUCGAAUGUAAUUUUACUACUGCAUGUACUCACCAAAUCCCAGGGCCUGGUGUUCAUCACUUACAGAAUAGUCUGCACAUGAACACCUCAUUGCAUGUUAUUUUCUUCAUCAUAUAACAGCAGGAUGCUCAUUUCCUACCACGUUUUUUAACAUAUUUUCUGAAUCCUGUUAUAUUGCUCUGUAAUGCAGCAGACUGGAGAGUAACAGUGGAGGAAUUUGAUCCAAUAGUCUGCAGCUUUACAUUGUGUCCAGCUUUGUUUUUUCCCCAUAUAUUUAUAAGAUGACAGAUGUGCUGUGAGUAUUCUAGGAAGUUUUUUUUUAUUAUUAUUAUUUUUAUUUAUUUUGUUUUUGUGGUGGUGGUGGUUGUACUGUAGUUUGGGUCCCGAUGAUAAAAUCUAAAUCUAUCAGAAAAUACUGGUUUUGGCGCAAGACGGUGAAUGUUUCAGUCAUGUAUAUAAACAAAAAAAUGAGGUAAAUAUUAUGUUGAAUAGAAAUGGUUUCAAUCUGGUCAGUAAAGCUGCUAAAAUGGCAUUAAUUUGGAGUUUUGCUUUGGCUUGUUAUCUUCAUUUCUAAUUUUCUGAACCUUCACAUCUUUUUUUAUGAAAAUCCUUAUAUGAAUGGCAGAG